GCGGAGUAGCUCAGAUGGUUAGAGCAGUGGAAUCAUAAUCCAAAGGUCGGGGGUUCGAUCCCCUCCUCCG
rnacentral:tRNA from 1 species